rnacentral:piRNA from 1 species
UUCAUUCUUUACUGAAUGCCUAUAUUGGCCU